CUGUGAUGAAGCCUUUGUUGGUAGGGACAUCUGAAGAGUGUUGAAGAAUGCCAACGGCUCUGAAGGCGGCCGGCGCCGAGUCGCCAGAGUAGGCCUUUGUUCCAGYAAUGGCGCUGGAGCGGCUCGAUCUGAGGGAAGGACAGAAGAGCCCACGUGGUUCUUUUAGGUGGCUGGGUUCCGCAGUGCACCAUUUUUGGUGCAUAACAGCGUAUUUCUUGCUUGCAUAUUCAUGUGUAUUCACGAUUUUAUCAGUGGUUCUUUAGUUGCAUUGUUAUUUUGCAACAUGAAGUGCAUCAUUUACUUAAGCCUAUGGUGGUAUGAACUAUCGGUCUUAGAUAGUAACAAAAGUGGUGAAACAUUAGCUUAAAUGGAACGAAUGAAUGUAAGGUCUAACGUAUUAGAAAUGGUAUGGGGUAGGUAUGUAAUGUGGGUUAUUUUGUGUAGACACUGGAAAUUCAACCCAGGAGCUACAUCUCCAAACGUUUUUCCGUUUAGAGACGCAGGGUGUCCCCUAAAACUAUCUACUUGCUUCAGCAUUCCGAAGUAGCUGCAGUGUGGCUCUGGAUGGCAUCUUGCGUGCAGAUAGAUGCCAAAGGAAUGAAUASUAAGGUGAAAAAGAGCCUCUCCAGCAAUGGACACAAGGCACUAAAUAGAAAASCAGAAAUAGAAAUGGUGGAGGAUGAUUUCUUUGGAUCUGCCUUAUUUUUCUAUUCCUGGAAACACAUUUUGAUCUGGAUAGCAUGAUUGGUUGUUGAUGGACCUUUAUUAUGUGAUGCUGAGAAUCGA